AACGAACGCUGGCGGCAUGCCUAACACAUGCAAGUCGAACGAGACCUUCGGGUCUAGUGGCGCACGGGUGCGUAACGCGUGGGAACCUGCCUUUAGGUUCGGAAUAACUCAGAGAAAUUUGAGCUAAUACCGGAUGAUGUCUUCGGACCAAAGAUUUAUCGCCUUUAGAUGGGCCCGCGUUGGAUUAGCUAGUUGGUGGGGUAAAGGCCUACCGAGGCGACGAUCCAUAGCUGGUCUGAGAGGAUGAUCAGCCACACUGGGACUGAGACACGGCCCAGACUCCUACGGGAGGCAGCAGUGGGGAAUAUUGGACAAUGGGCGAAAGCCUGAUCCAGCAAUGCCGCGUGAGUGAUGAAGGCCUUAGGGUUGUAAAGCUCUUUUACCCGAGAUGAUAAUGACAGUAUCGGGAGAAUAAGCUCCGGCUAACUCCGUG
rnacentral:rRNA from 1 species